UACGAAGGGGCUAGCGUUGCUCGGAAUCACUGGGCGUAAAGGGUGCGUAGGCGGCUUCUUAAGUCAGGGGUGAAAUCCUGGAGCUCAACUCCAGAACUGCCUUUGAUACUGAGAGCCUUGAGUCCGGAAGAGGUAAGUGGAACUGCGAGUGUAGAGGUGAAAUUCGUAGAUAUUCGCAAGAACACCAGUGGCGAAGGCGGCUUACUGGUCCGGUACUGACGCUGAGGUGCGAAAGCGUGGGGAGCAAACAGGG
rnacentral:rRNA from 1 species